AAAAAAUACGUACACUGAUGACAAAAAAAUCAGGGAUUUCAUGCACUCUGCUGUGAGGUGUUAUUUCAUUCCGAAAUUGCCCUCUCUCUUCAGCCACUUCAGUGUCCACAUCAGAAGGCCUACAAAACCAAAAAAAUUCAGAGACUCACUCGCUCGAUCACUCAGGCUUCUUUUCCAAUGGAUCAAGCUCAGUUUCUUCUGGUAGGGUUACCUCUGUUUCUCUUCUUCUCAGACAUCAUAAAUCUCUUCACGCCAUUGCCUCUAAAGCCACCGCCGCAUCAUCACCACCAGCAACCCCAACCCAAACCCCAAUCGGCUCCUCUAGAUUUCCCCACACAGAAAGAGAGUGGUAUUGGAGGUAUUGGCUUCGGCAACACCGUCAAUAUUAAUUUCUGUUCCUCUUGUUCCUACAGCCACCACGGUCUCCAUGUAAGCAGCCACGGGUCUCCAAAAUUGGCCAUGUAAUCAGCACUCAAAUCUGAACCGAAAAGAACCCGAUCAGAGGAAAAAUGGCAUGAGGCUGCAAGAGAAACACGGGCCCUUAAAGAAGCUAAGGACAAGCUACAAAAGCGGGUGGAGGAAUUUACAUGGAGAUUGCAGUUGGAGAAACGAUUAAGGGAAAACCAAGACCUGCUAAUCAAGUUUAUUUCACAAGAUCUAGGAUUCUCUGGGGGCAGGCCUAUUGCUGCUUGCCUGAUUUACAAAUCCCUUCUCCAAUGGAGGUCAUUUGAGGUUGAAAGAAGUAGUGUAUUUGAUCGUAUCAUUCAGACAAUAGGUGCAGCAAUAGAGGGGCUUCGUGCAUCUCCACAAGGUGCUUGGUGAACUGGAUGACUUGAGACAAGUUGAAGCCAAAUAUGCAGCUUUUCUUUUUAAACAGCAACUCACAACCUUCCUUGAGAAUAUAUAUGGAAUGAUAAGAGACAAUUUAAAGAAAUAUUUCCCCAUUGCUUGGAUUGUGUAUUCAGGAAAUUCUUCUUAGCAAAAUAUGAAUGGUAUGACUAGUUUCAUUUAAUAUCAAUAGCAACUCAAAUUUUAGACA